AGUGGCGGACGGGUGAGUAACGCGUAAGAAUCUAGCUUCAGGUUCGGGACAACAGUUGGAAACGACUGCUAAUACCGGAUGUGCCCACGGGUGAAAGGCUUGCUGCCUGAAGAAGAGCUUGCGUCCGAUUAGCUAGUUGGUAAGGUAAAAGCUUACCAAGGCAUCGAUCGGUAGCUGGUCUGAGAGGAUGACCAGCCACACUGGGACUGAGACAAGGCCCAGACUCCUACGGGAGGCAGCAGUGGGGAAUUUUCCGCAAUGGGCGAAAGCCUGACGGAGCAAUACCGCGUGAGGGAAGAAGGCUCUUGGGUUGUAAACCUCUUUUCUCAGGGAAUAAUAAAGUGAAGGUACCUGAGGAAUAAGCAUCGGCUAACUCCGUGCCAGCAGCCGCGGUAAUACGGAGGAUGCAAGCGUUAUCCGGAAUGAUUGGGCGUAAAGCGUCCGCAGGUGGAACAACAAGUCUAGUGUCAAAGACCGGGGCUCAACCCCGGGUCGGCGGUAGAAACUGUUGAACUAGAGGGUCGUAGGGGUAGAGGGAAUUCCCAGUGUAGCGGUGAAAUGCGUAGAGAUUGGGAAGAACAUCGGUGGCGAAGGCGCUCUACUGGACGGCACCUGACACUCAGGGACGAAAGCUAGGGGAGCGAAUGGGAUUAGAUACCCCAGUAGUCCUAGCCGUAAACGAUGGAUACUAGGUGUGGCU
rnacentral:rRNA from 1 species